rnacentral:lncRNA from 1 species
ACACACUUAAACAACAUUAACCAUAAUUUCAAUAUUCACUAACAUGUAUAUUCAAAGCUGUUUAUCCGAGUCAGAGUCACUAAAUUAUUUUUACCCAGAGCUACAGAGCUCCAAAUUAAGAUCCGUUAAUUUUCCCUGAAACUAGACUCACAUAUAUUCAUAGCAUAAAAUUUUCAGAAUUUUUGGUUGAGCCAAAUAAUACAGUUUAUUCUUUAAAGUUUCCCCUGUUUCGCUGUCUGACAGUUUCGACCACUCUUCACUAAAAAUUAAUUAUCUCAUUGUACAGAAUUCAAAUGAUGUUUUCGUUUGUUUCUUCUAAAAAUAGACUAAUUAAGGAUUAUAACCAUAUAAAUUAUAACUCAUAAUCAUUUUUUUACAAUUUUU